CGACGAGAGGGGGAUCGCUUCUUCGUCUGGUUCGCCGACGGCACCCAACGAGGCCGCAGUGGCGCCAUAUGAUGCCUUGACCUCUCCUGUUAGCCCUUCUUUCCUCUUCCUUCUCUCAAUUUUGUGAUUAUCUUUAACGAUAUCUUGCGUUAGACAUUUGGGCUUUCUUCGUGAUCUCUUAUCCAACUGCACAUCUAAUUCCGCUUAAGAGUUGGAGGAAAGCUGAAAACCGAAUCAUGAACUGAUGAUUCGCACAUCAUUUCACAAAAAAAGAAAAAAAAGUAAAGUUGUAAUUUUGAUAACCGAGGCAAAUUUCUGAACCCUUAUGUUUGACCUCAAACUUAAUUCUAGUUUGGUUGUACUUUCAUGACAAAGUUAAUUGGGACGUUAUGUCUUGUUGUUGUGGUUGUAUUCUAGCAUGACAAUGUUUGAUGUACAUUUACUGUAACAGCAAAAAAUUGUUGAUGAUUGACAUCUGCUACAGUCUACUUGUAUAUAUAUAUAUAUUCUAGUGAAUUCUCUAGCUAUUGAACUUAAUUUAAGAAUAGAUUGGAACAAAAUUGCUUUUGUUUCUAGUGUGUUUUCUUUGCUUAGUACAGUCAGGCUACUAAUUGAAUGGUAAAAGGGUGUAAAGUUUAUUGUCAGACUAUUAUACUUUUGAUCCUUGAGACAGAAGACAAUAAAUGUAAUUUGCCAUAUCUCGUUCGGUGCUGAUGAAACUGUUUCUUUUGAAAAUCCAGCCUCACUUGCUGAGGUAGCAAUGCCGCGAGAGCCAAUCGGGUCUCUGCAAAGUGAGUCCUAGAAUAGAUUGAACAAGCAAUUAUGCAAUGCAAAAUGCAAGGAACUAAGUGGGUGUGACAUUUUUUCUCCUCCUGAAGUUCUGUUGAGGCCAUCAAAAAGUAGGAGAAAGCAAGGACUUUGGAGAUAAAUGAUGAAACCUGUUCGUGAAAUCUACAAACACCCAAACUGGCAGAACUGACAGGCAGUAGCAUCUUCAGACAUGACGCUGCACCAGGUUCAGCAGCAAGUAAACUCGGUAUGGUAAGGCUAACAGAGAUGAGUGGCGAGCCAUAGCGGUAUCUUCACCAAUGGAAAAGGCUCCUUCAUAAGACUAUCUAGGUGGUGACACACACCUUUUGAUGGUGAUGGUGUUUCUGUAGCAAAAGAAGAAGCAACAUAUAUCCAAGGGACAAAAGUCAUCGGAUCGAACCAGUUCAUAUAUUCUAUUCUACAGUUCACUUCUGAUUUGAGCUCCUCAGGCAUUGCUAUUAAGAGUGUUUCAAGUGCCACCUGAUGGUCCUACCAGUUUCCAAAGGCAUGAUAAGAGCUGUGCUCUGUGAUGCUUGGGUACCAGCCCAAAGCAUUCCAAAUAAUACUUGCAAGUGUGCUGCAAUGGACAAACUCAAUGUGUUUUUAAGCUGUGAAAUAUCUCAUAGAGUGGGCCAAGCUUCAAUUCCUAACAUGGCGAUACCAUGCGCCAAAGAGCAAGCAAUGAUGAGACCAAGUCAUUAGGUGACACUGGGAUUAGGGUUUUGGCCAUAUGAUUAUAGCAUCACCAAAGCAACUUUAGCUCUUGAUCUUAAAUAAACGUGUCAUCAUUUUUACUUGGGUUAUUUGUGAUUUAUAUGACUCUGUGUAUUGACUAUCGUCAGGGUGUAUUUGGGUUAUAAUUGCACGAUGUAAAUCGAAAGAAACAUGAUU